rnacentral:tRNA from 1 species
GCAUUGGUGGUUCAGUGGUAGAAUUCCUGCUUCUAUGCUGGAGACCUAGGUUCAAUUCUCGGCCAAUGCA